UACAGAGGGUGCGAGCGUUAAUCGGAAUGACUGGGCGUAAAGGGCGCGUAGGCGGUUUGUACAGUCAGGUGUGAAAUUCCCGGGCUCAACCUGGGGGCUGCACUUGAUACGUAUGGACUGGAGUGGGGAAGAGGGUCGUGGAAUUCCCAGUGUAGAGGUGAAAUUCGUAGAUAUUGGGAAGAACACCGGUGGCGAAGGCGGCGACCUGGUCCUUGACUGACGCUGAGGCGCGAAAGCGUGGGGAGCAAACAGG
rnacentral:rRNA from 1 species